UGGGGAAUAUUGCGCAAUGGGGGAAACCCUGACGCAGCGACGCCGUGUGAGUGAUGAAGGCUUUCGGGUCGUAAAGCUCUGUCGGAUGGGACGAAUAAGGACUGUGUGAAUAAUGCAGUCCGAUGACGGUACCGUCGAAGGAAGCACCGGCUAACUCCGUGCCAGCAGCCGCGGUAAUACGGAGGGUGCAAGCGUUGUUCGGAAUUAUUGGGCGUAAAGGGCGCGUAGGCGGUUUUUUAAGUCAGAUGUGUAAUCCCCGAGCUCAACUUGGGAACUGCAUCUGAGACUGGAAGGCUAGAGUACUGGAGAGGGUGGUGGAAUUCCUCGUGUAGCGGUGAAAUUCGUAGAUAUCAGGAGGAACACCGGUGGCGAAGGCGACUUCCUGGCCCUAUACUGACGCUGAGACGCGAGAGCGUGGGGAGCAAACAGG
rnacentral:rRNA from 1 species